ACGGCCUAAAGCGUGAUUAAAUUAUAUUAAAAUAAAUAGAAAUAAAAAUUAACUCGACUGUUAUACGUAUAUGUUAAACGGUAAACCAGAAACGAAAGAUAUUCUAACAAAUAAACUACUUGAACCCACGAAAGCUAAGAAACAAACUAGGAUUAGAUACCCUACUAUGCUUAGCCUUAAACUUUGGAACAACCCGCCUGAGUACUACGAGCCACAGCUUAAAACUCAAAGGACUUGGCGGUGCUCUACACCCCCCUAGAGGAGCCUGUUCUAUAAUUGAUACUCCCCGUUAAACCUCACCACUUAUUGCCAAUACCGCUUAUAUACCGCCGUCGUCAGCUCACCAUUUAAAUGAAAAAUAGUAGGCAUAAUGAUAAACAUAAAAACGUCAGGUCAAGGUGUAGCGAAUUAAGUGGAAAGAAAUGGGCUACAUUUUCUAAACUAGAAAAUACGAAAAAUUUUAUGAAAAACUAUUUAAAGGUGGAUUUAGCAGUAAAAAGAAAAUAGAGUGUUCUUUUUAAAUAGGCCAUAGAGCGCGCACACACCGCCCGUCACCCUCCUCAGAAAAACAACUAAUUAUAUAAUAAAAAAAAUAAAAAGAAGAGGUAAGUCGUAACAUGGUAAGUUUACCGGAAGGUGUACUUGGAUUAU
rnacentral:rRNA from 1 species